GAGCCUAGCCUAGAAGGUCGGUCUGGAAGCUGGACUGUCUCAGCGCAACCGACUCUAAGCCUGUCUGACCCCCGACCUCGACCCGGGAAAGGGGAAAUGGAAAGGGUGGUAAGGUGAAGUCCCUUCAACCAGAGACAGCAGCCGCCAAAGGGAGGGAAGGGGGCCUAGGAAGAGAGCUGGGACCUACCCGGGCCCUGCUUUCAACCCCUCCCCUUCCCCUACUAGCCUGCCAGAUGAGCUGUCCAACUAGUUGGGCCCCUUUCUGUCCAUCCCGCCGGCGGCAGCGUCGCCUCAGACAUUGACACUGCGCAGAGUGGAGUCAUAAAGGGGAGGGGGAGGAAGCAAGGGACGGUGACCCAAGGCUGGGAGCCAAAGCCUCCAGACUAUAGAGCCUCGGGCAAUCGCUCCACCUCCUCUCUCUAAUCUCUGCUGCUGGGGACAAGAUUACGUGAGCCGGACGCCUGGGUUCCCCUCCAGGGUUUAAAGGAUUGAAAGACCUAGCGGGUGCUGCAGAGGGCACCAAAGGCGAUAUCCCACGGGGCAACCGGCUAAGCCAGUUUAAGGGCUUCCAGAGAAAGCGGAGCCCCUACUACAAUCACCAUAUCUUGGAGCUGGAGAAAGAAUUCCGUUUUAGUAUGUACCUGACUCGUGAGCGCCGCCUAGAGAUCAGCUGCAGCUUCAACUUGACUGAUAGACAAAUGAAAAUCUGGUUCCAGAACCGGAGAAUGAACGUGAAAACCCCAAACCCCAAACCAAAAAAACAAACAAACAAACAAACAAGCCUCGACAACAGGGCUGCGGAUCCCCUGGCAGCGCUGUUAUCUCUGUGACCAGGACGUGGCCAGCUCCCGUGGGGGUGUAUAUAAAGAGAAGGAAAUUAUCCACCCAACAACCUCCCCCAUUCUCCAUCUAUAGAGCAUCAUGGAGAAUUAGCAGUUAUGAGCUCAAUCUAGGAAGUAUAGUCCAAUGACCUGAUUUUUCUGGUGCCCAGGAUCUCCUUCCUUUUUUCCUAAUAGGAAUAAAGAUACCACCUGGCUUUUCCCAGCCUUUAGUAAAUAAACAAUAAAAUCCACUUUAGCCACAAUUAUCCAGAAAA